UACGGGGGGGGCAAGCGUUGUUCGGAAUUACUGGGCGUAAAGCGCGUGUAGGCGGCUACGUAAGUCGGGCGUGAAAUCCCACGGCUCAACCGUGGAAGUGCACUCGAAACUGCAUAGCUAGAGUCCUGGAGAGGAAGGUGGAAUGCUUGGUGUAGAGGUGAAGUUCGUAGAUAUCAAGCGGAACACCGGUGGCGAAGGCGGCCUUCUGGACAGUGACUGACGCUGAGACGCGAAAGCGUGGGGAGCAAACAGG
rnacentral:rRNA from 1 species